GAUGAACGCUGGCGGCGUGCCUAAUACAUGCAAGUCGAGCGAACAGAUGAGGAGCUUGCUCCUCUGACGUUAGCGGCGGACGGGGGAGUAAAACGUGGAGAACCUACCUAUAAGACUGGGAUAACUUCGGGAAACCGGAGCUAAUAACGGAAAAUAUAUUGAACCGCAUGGUUCAAUAGUUAAAGACGGUUUUGCUGUCACUUAUAGAUGGAUCCGCGCCGCAUUAGCUAGUUGGUAAGGUAACGGCUUACCAAGGCAACGAUGCGUAGCCGACCUGAGAGGGUGAUCGGCCACACUGGAACUGAGACACGGUCCAGACUCCUACGGGAGGCAGCAGUAGGGAAUCUUCCGCAAUGGGCGAAAGCCUGACGGAGCAACGCCGCGUGAGUGAUGAAGGUCUUCGGAUCGUAAAACUCUGUUAUUAGGGAAGAACAAAUGUGUAAGUAACUAUGCACGUCUUGACGGUACCUAAUCAGAAAGCCACGGCUAACUACGUG
rnacentral:rRNA from 1 species